rnacentral:rRNA from 1 species
CCUACGGGAGGCAGCAGUGGGGAAUAUUGCACAAUGGGCGAAAGCCUGAUGCAGCAACGCCGCGUGAGGGAUGACGGCCUUCGGGUUGUAAACCUCUUUUAGCAGGGAAGAAGCGAAAGUGACGGUACCUGCAGAAAAAGCGCCGGCUAACUACGUGCCAGCAGCCGCGGUAAUACGUAGGGCGCAAGCGUUAUCCGGAAUUAUUGGGCGUAAAGAGCUCGUAGGCGGUUUGUCGCGUCUGCUGUGAAAUCCCGAGGCUCAACCUCGGGCCUGCAGUGGGUACGGGCAGACUAGAGUGCGGUAGGGGAGAUUGGAAUUCCUGGUGUAGCGGUGGAAUGCGCAGAUAUCAGGAGGAACACCGAUGGCGAAGGCAGAUCUCUGGGCCGUAACUGACGCUGAGGAGCGAAAGGGUGGGGAGCAAACAGGCUUAGAUACCCUGGUAGUCCACCCCGUAAACGUUGGGAACUAGUUGUGGGGUCCAUUCCACGGAUUCCGUGACGCAGCUAACGCAUUAAGUUCCCCGCCUGGGGAGUACGGCCGCAAGGCUAAAACUCAAAGGAAUUGACGG